CGCUGUGAAGAUGCAGUGUACCCGCGGCAAGACGGAAAGACCCCGUGAACCUUUACUAUAGCUUGACACUGAACAUUGAGCCUUGAUGUGUAGGAUAGGUGGGAGGCUUUGAAGUGUGGACGCCAGUCUGCAUGGAGCCGGCCUUGAAAUACCACCCUUUAAUGUUUGAUGUUCUAACGUGGACCCGUGAUCCGGGUUGCGGACAGUGUCUGGUGGGUAGUUUGACUGGGGCGGUCUCCUCCUAAAGAGUAACGGAGGAGCACGAAGGUUGGCUAAUCCUGGUCGGACAUCAGGAGGUUAGUGCAAUGGCAUAAGCCAGCUUGACUGCGAGCGUGACGGCGCGAGCAGGUGCGAAAGCAGGUCAUAGUGAUCCGGUGGUUCUGAAUGGAAGGGCCAUCGCUCAACGGAUAAAAGGUACUCCGGGGAUAACAGGCUGAUACCGCCCAAGAGUUCAUAUCGACGGCGGUGUUUGGCACCUCGAUGUCGGCUCAUCACAUCCUGGGGCUGAAGUAGGUCCCAAGGGUAUGGCUGUUCGCCAUUUAAAGUGGUACGCGAGCUGGGUUUAGAACGUCGUGAGACAGUUCGGUCCCUAUCUGCCGUGGGCGCUGGAGAACUGAGGGGGGCUGCUCCUAGUACGAGAGGACCGGAGUGGACGCAUCACUGGUGUUCGGGUUGUCAUGCCAAUGGCACUGCCCGGUAGCUAAAUGCGGAAGAGAUAAGUGCUGAAAGCAUCUAAGCACGAAACUUGCCCCGAGAUGAGUUCUCCCUGACCCUUUAAGGGUCCUGAAGGAACGUUGAAGACGACGACGUUGAUAGGCCGGGUGUGUAAGCGCAGCGAUGCGUUGAGCUAACCGGUACUAAUGAACCGUGAGG
rnacentral:rRNA from 1 species